GAAACCACAUCCCUCAUCAAUUUGAGCAACAGGGGUGAAGGACAACCAUUUUCAUUCAUUAGGUCAGUAUCCAGAAUAAUACCCUUCAAAUUGUCCAAAUAACGUCUAUGCUUCAUAGAUUCUCCAUCCAAGUUCUGGUUAGGACAAGCAUUUUCUGAAGUGUCAGCAUAAAUCUGAAUAAGGUCACUCAAGCUGCAAAUGCAGCGUUCCAAAGCAAGAUAAACAAAAUCUUGGUCUUGUUCCACACCAUACCACCGAACGAUAUUUGGAUGUCGAUCAGAUGCAAUAAGAUUCUGUAUCUCUUUGAAGGCAAUAUCAUGAUGUGCCCUGACAAGUCUUUUAACAGCAACUGCACGGCCUUCAUAAAUUCCUUCAAAUACAACUGUACCAUUGCUCCCUUUAGCAAUCUCUGAACUGGAGACAAACAAUUUACCAAUAGAGCGUCCACCUUUGGUACAUAUACUUGGUUGAAGAAAGUUCAACAGUUUAUUAUCAGCAUCCACGUCUGCAUAUUUAAGUCCAGUACCAGAUGAGGUGUCUUUAUCACUUUUAAUGCCAUUGCUCCCAUUCUUUCCAGACUUCCGAGACUUCUUCCUUUUUGAAGGUACAUUUGGCGAAUGUAGGUUCCCAUUGAGUUCAGCUACUAAAUCACGAUUAUGUGUAAAAGCUCCCACAAGAGUAGCUAAAAUACUGUGAAUUGGCAUGGUCAAUCUUUCAGAGCACUUUGAUAUUCCUUUUUUAAAUGGACUUUUAGCAUCUUGUAACAUUAUGUUUUUGGUGAAAAAAAUUAUGAACACCGUCAAUAUGACAAGCAUAGUUUUUUUAAUAAUAUCUUUUAAGUGGAAGGUGUUUACAUUCUUGUCGGGCACGGGCGUAGCUGCAUUAUCAACAUUUGGUUGUGAAGUAGGAAUUGGCAGCAUACCGUGAUUAUCAGCCUCUGGGAGCAUCUUGUUAUCAUGACCUCGGCGUCUGUAGAUAAGGGCCCUUGACUGACAUGGCAAUGGCAUAUUGAAAUGGACAUCAGGUUCAGAUUUGUCAGACUCCAUAAUAUCCCCACUUAAUGCAUCAUCAACUUUGCAAAGAACAGCAGCCCCUAUUUCAGCAACCGUCAUGUUCCACAACACUUUGUCUGAGUUUGGAAUAAAGGACGUUAAUGCAUAGUCUGUCCUGGUGAUGUAAAGCGUGUAGCUGGGAAGACUCUUUUCCUCAAUGGUGCCAUUAUGAUGAAAAGCAGUGUCGUUGUCCUGAGUUGCUGGAGAGCUAGGCAUACUAUAUGUGUAAAUCAAUCGUCCAGUCUUAGCAUCAAUAAGAAAUGCAGUAGUUCUUUUAGAACCCAGAACAAUUCCGCCGUCCUCAGCUAUUUGUGGAGUUGAACUAAUAUACUCAUCAAUACUCUUCAUAAGUUUCAAUUUACCAAGCCUGUUGUGUGCAUACAACUCCCAAUCAUCCCCACGGCCACAGUCGAUGAAAUAACCACUUCCUAUAUCAGAUGAUGCCUCCUUGCUGUUAUUGUAAUUAACAGGAGCCUGAUAAGAAGAGUAGAUUGAUGACCCAGAUCUAAAUGACCAGAGCGGUGGUUUCAUAGUAUUUAAGCUAUUUUGCUCCCUCAAAGAAACUGUACCAUCCAAUUCAGCAAACAGAGCUGUCUCAGGUUUCUUUAAUUCCGACAGCAAAUUCCUCCUCGCCGGAGCUAGCGUAACCCCAUCAGAAACUCCUUCAAUUGACCCACUUGGUAAGCCAAAUAACUCACUUGCCAAAACCGUCAAGCUGAAAAAUAAGAGUAAAAUGCCGGCCGGAAUCACCCAGUAGCGUCUCAUCGACCUGAAAUUGACCGCCGAUUUUUCUUCUGUUGAUGGGGGUGGGGGUAUACAAAUAAAUUAGGAGUGGUGGCGUACGAUAGAGUUAUGGGUUACAUCGAAGAUUGCAAUUGAGGAAAUCUUAGAGAUUCGAUUCGAAAUAUGAAAGAAAGGGCGUUGUCGUCUGGAUUUUGGGUUCCUCGAAUUUCGUCGAUCGAUGGCUG
rnacentral:misc_RNA from 1 species